GUCGAAUGGGCCACUAGGUUUCCAGAUACAUCGCUUUCGUCAACCACUCGGACAACCUCCGACCACGUCACCAUUCGUUUUACAGCGGCCACGUCAAUCCCAAAGUCUCCGGUUUUCUCUCUAGAUCGCUCUCUUCUCAACAUCCCUCUCUUUAAGGAGCAGGUCACAACAAAUUGGACAAGUGUCGGCCCGCGGCAUGCCCACCUGGGCUCGGCCGGCAUCCUUGUCCUUAAGCUCAAACGCACUCGCAACAUGGCCAAAAAAUGGGUGUUGAAUAGCCGCUCCCCAAAGACCCUUGUGCUUAACUGUCACACUACUAUCAAUUUUCUCGACAAAAUAGAGGAAGCUAGGCCACUGUCACAACUCGAGUCAGACCUUCAUCUCGCUGUUAAGCUUUCGCUACACCGGCAUAAUGCGUCUGUCGCAGCAUAUUGGCGGCAGCGGGCAAAGCUGAAAGAUUGCCUUCUAGGCGAUGAAAACUCUGCCUAUCUUCACAUCUGUGCUUCGGCCCGGCACCGCAAGAACCAAAUUAAAUCCCUGGACGACAAUGGAAUGACCUUCACAGCGCACCGUGACAAGGAGGUUGUCCUCUUGAAUUUUUUCAAAAACCUCGUCGGGGUAUCUCCAGCCUUCUCCACGUCGUUCGACCUUGCAAGAUUGCUCCUCCCCAACUCCAUUAGUUCUGCUCAAGCCUCGGAGCUCACUCAGCCUUUUACCUUGGAAGAGAUCAAGGGGGCCCUCUGGGCGAUGAAAGAUGACGCAAGUCCUAGCCCCGACGGUUUCGGCCUAGCCUUCUACAAGUCCAACUGGAAUCUGAUUAAAUCUGACCUCCUACGCCUGCUAAACAAUUUUCACGCCAGAACCGCGGACCUCAAAUGGCUAAACUCCAUGCAUAUUGUGCUCCUUCCCAAAAAAGCGGAUGCCUCUAAAGCUGAGAAUUUCAGGCAUGUGUCCCUGCAAAAUUUCUCAGUUACAAUUGCUUCCAAGUGCCUGGCUAAUAGGAAUAUGGCCCUUAUCGACCAUCUAGUGCACUGUGAGCAAACGGGUUUCAUCAGGGGCCGUGGCAUCGUGGAAAACUUCCUCCAUGCAAUGGACAUUGUUUAG
rnacentral:rRNA from 1 species